AUAGUACUCCCUCCGUCCGGAAAUACUUGUCAUCAAAAUGGAUGAAAAUGGAUGUAUCUACAACUAAAAUACAUCUAGAUACAUCCAUUUCAAUGACAAGUAUUUUUGGACGGAGGGAGUACUGA
rnacentral:pre_miRNA from 1 species